rnacentral:lncRNA from 1 species
UAUAAAAAAUUCAAUCGCAAGUACUUUUACAUUACUCUUCAGCUGAUAAAUGCUUUCCUUGUGUGUUAGGAACAGGCAUGGUAUCAGAGUUGCCGUUUUCAGGAAUAUGCAUUUGAUCAGGUACGAGGGCAGGAGAUCCAAUCGAAAUUUCCAUGCCAAUCGGUGCACCCCUCGUUUGCAGGGCUAAGGGGGAAGGUGCAACAGCCGGAUAUGGACUAAACUGAGCCUGGGGUGGUAAACUCAUUGCCGGAAAUAAUGAGGUAGCAGGAAUAGUAGUUUGUGAAACCUGAGACUGAUAAUUCAAGGCAGGAGCCGCAAUUGGAUUCUGAUUCCUUCCCCAAGAUAAUCGGAUACGAGAAUUGCCCAAAGGAUAACCCUGCAACUGAUUGAUAGCAAUUUCAGCAGACUGUCGGUUGACAAAUUGCACAAAUCCACAACCUUUUCCAGGUGGAAUUUUGACAUAAACAAUUUCUCCAAAAUUUUGAAAAAGAUACUUAAGCUCCUCUUCAGAAACAAAUUUUGAGAGACCGCCAACAAAUACGGUUGAGUUUGCUGUGUCAGCAAACUGAGGAACAGGCUGUGCAGCACUAUAAAAUCCAACUGGUGGCAUACUAACAGGUACAACGUUCACAGGACUAAAAACAUGAGCCUUACUUUUAGGAGUGGCUAAUCCCACCCGAAUAGGACGAUCACCACAAAUUUGACCCUGCAUUUCUGCCAAUGCAGAUUUCUGAUCAUUUUCGUCCGUAAAACGGACAAAACCAUAUCCUCUUGACACAUUUGUUUGAGGAUCAGUCAUGAUUUUGGCCGACUUGCAUGAGUUAUAUCGAGAUGCGAAGAGAGAAUACACAUCAAACUCAUUGACAUUGGGUGACAAGUCUCCCACAAAUAUGGAAUAUUCUGAGGCCUUUGAAAUAGACUUUUCACGUAAUCCGCCUCCAGAGGCCCAAUUAAGUUUAAACAAAUGAUUUGUACCAGGAAUUGGUUUGUUGUUCAUACUCAUCGCGCUUGAAGCUUCAUGAGGAGAUGCGAAUUCGACAAAACAAUAGCCAGCAUUCAUGCCUGUGUACCUGUUACGAAUAAGCUUUACUUUGACUGCCUUUCCUAAAGUAUUCCAAACUUGCUGGAUAAAUGCUUCAGUAACCCAAGGCUCUAAUUCACCCAUCCAAAGCGUCGUUUUUUGAUAGACGUUUUCAUCUCUUGAUGAGCCAUAGUUGCUAGUAUUUUCGGAAUUUCCAGAUUCGUUGGAUGCCAUAUUUGGAGAAAUCGGAUCUUGAGAUUGUACGGGUUCAUCAUUUGAUUUAUAAUCAUUGUCCACUUCUUGGUCAUCUUGUUCAUUGAAGGAGUUAUCUUUAACCAAAGUAUCCGUAUUAGCUGGUUGUUGGCUUUGUUCGUCUAUCGAAUUAUGCGAUUCCUUGGGUAAAAUUUCAGACUCAGUCGGUGAGGAAGACAUUUUAAAAAUUUUAGCAAUUAAUAAAAGAGUGGAUUAUACUAGAAACCAAAAAAAAUCGACACACUAUGCUCACGGUAGAGACAGAAGGCUGAACUAAGUUAGAUGAAAGUUUCGACAAUGGAUAUUUGUGAAGAUGAAACAAUGAAUAAAUCGCCAAAAGGACUAAUUAUCACCACAAAAAUGAGAUGAUGUACUGUGUAUACAAAACACAAACUCUUAAAAUAACUUUGGUGAGUUAACGGAAAUAACUUAUACGGUUAGUUGUCCAAGAAAAAGUACAAACUGGAUUGUAGUCGAUCAAACACAAAGUGAAAUGAACGAAGGUAGAGAAAAUUAUUAGU